UCUCACCAAUUUUUUCAAAGGUUGAGCCGGUAUUUUACACUAUAAUUGAAAUAACAGGUAAUCUUGAAAGCAUACCUGAAGCGGUGGAAGAGGAUCACAUAGUUUUCACUAACACAUGUAAUCUUGAAAGCAUACCUGAAGCGGUGGAAGAGGAUCACAGAGUUUUCACUAACACAGGUUCCCCAACAGAAAGCUUUGUUGCGGACGAUAAUCAGUCUGAAGAAGAAGAUGAUGAGUACUUCAUAUUUGCUGGCAGAGG